UCCGAUUUGUCACCGGCAGUCUCCCAUGAGUCCCCGACUUUCUCGCUGGCAACAUGGGACAGGGGUUGCGCUCGUUGCGCCACUUAAGGCAACAUCUCACGACACGAGCUGACGACAGCCAUGCAGCACCUGUGCUAGCCCCUUGCGGACACCGGCUUUCACCGGCUUUAACUAGCAUGUCAAGCCUAGGUAAGGUUCUUCGCGUUGCAUCGAAUUAAGCCACAUGCUCCGCCGCUUGUGCGGACCCCCGUCAAUUCCUUUGAGUUUCACCGUUGCCGGCGUACUCCCCAGGUGGAUUACUUAUCGCUUUCGCUAAGCCGCGUACUGUAUAUCGCACACAGCGAGUAAUCAACGUUUACAGUAUGGACUAC
rnacentral:misc_RNA from 1 species